rnacentral:rRNA from 1 species
GGCGCACGGGUGCGUAACGCGUAACCAACCUACCCAGAACUGGGGGAUAGCCCGCCGAAAGGCGGAUUAAUACCGCAUAAGCUAGAGACCUGGCAUCAGGAUUUUAGUAAAGAUUUAUUGGUUUUGGAUGGGGUUGCGUGCCAUUAGCUAGUUGGUGAGGUAACGGCUCACCAAGGCGACGAUGGCUAGGGGAGCUGAGAGGCUGGUCCCCCACACGGGCACUGAGAUACGGGCCCGACUCCUACGGGAGGCAGCAGUAGGGAAUAUUGGGCAAUGGUCGAGAGACUGACCCAGCCAUGCCGCGUGCAGGAUGAAGGCUUUCUGAGUCGU